AACGUAGGACGCAAGCGUUAUCCGGAGUUACUGGGCGUAAAGCGCGGGCAGGCGGCCCUGCAAGUCUGAUGUAAAAUCUCCCUGGCUCAACCGGGAGAAGCCAUUGGAAACUACGGGGCUGGAGUCUGGCAGAGGUAGGCGGAAUUCCGGGUGGAGUGGUGAAAUGCGUAGAGAUCCGGAGGAACACCAGAGGCGAAGGCGGCCUACUGGGCCAGCACUGACGCUGAGCCGCGAAAGCCAGGGGAGCGAACGGG
rnacentral:rRNA from 1 species